UCGUAAGUUGAGGACUACCUGUAUACUGGCAGACAUCCAAACGCAUAUCCCACAAACCUUGCAGUGAUGGGGAAAGGAAGGGAAAGACGGAUGAAGAGGCAAAGUCCACCUUUGUAUGCUUAGGAUGCGAGAUCCUAUAUAAAGCUGCAGGACUGCAUAGCAGAAGAGCAAACGAGCAGGAGAAGAAAGGAGCCACAUUCAUCGUACACAUCUACUGCAGCAAAGCUUGAAGGCUCCAGAGACCACCACUUUUUUCACCAUCAUGAAGCUUCUUUCUCUCUACCUUUUUGCUCUCCUGGCAGCUACAGCAAUACUACACCGCUCAAGAGCUCAAGACCCACCACCACAACCGUCCUUAACCUGUCAUAAAGCUGGCACAGGAACUACCUCUUGUGCCUCUGGCAAAUGCUUUGCACAGACAUUAGAAAGUACCGUGGUAGGUGUGUCGACAGACAAAGUCAACUUACAAGACUGUGGUUUAUCAUGCGAAGGACUCGAAAUACAACUCACAUUUACCAAAAAAAAAUAUUUAAGAGCAUCUACCGUAUGCUGUACAACGAGCCAGUGCAAUACUCCU